GACGAACGCUGGCGGCGUGCUUAACACAUGCAAGUCGAGCGGUAAGGCCCUUUCGGGGGUACACGAGCGGCGAACGGGUGAGUAACACGUGGGUGACCUGCCCUUAGCUCUGGGAUAAGCCUGGGAAACUGGGUCUAAUACCGGAUAUGACUCCAUAACGCAUGUUGUGGGGUGGAAAGCCUUGUGCGGCUAGGGAUGGGCCCGCGGCCUAUCAGCUUGUUGGUGGGGUGAUGGCCACCAAGGCGACGACGGGUAGCCGGCCUGAGAGGGCGACCGGCCACACUGGGACUGAGACACGGCCCAGACUCCUACGGGAGGCAGCAGGUGGGGAAUCUUGCGCAAUGGGCGAAAGCCUGACGCAGCGACGCCGC
rnacentral:rRNA from 1 species